UUUUUUUGAGGGUUUGGCCUUGGGGGUGAACUUAGAACUGUGCCAAGAAUGGAUAAGCGGGUGAUGGCUAUCGCGAAGUUGGGCUACAGGAAAUGCGUCGUCCCCAAGACUUCAGAGAAGCUGCUCAAACCUCUCGAUCUCGAUAUCCAGAUCUUGCCCUGCAACAACCUGAAGGAGUUCAUAAACACAGUGUUCAGGCCAGAAGUAUGAUGUUGCAUCCUGGCAGCGUGCUCUUCUUACAACUAGCUGAUUGACUGACUGUAGGUUUUUAGCGUGUCUAGGUCCAUUGGUCAACAAUAUAACUUGUUUGUGCAUUUGAAGUGCCAUUUUUGCACCUCAACCGAUCAAAUCCCCCAGCCAUUUUGUGCAUGUUCCUUUUGCUAGGAACCAUGGCUCA